rnacentral:lncRNA from 1 species
GAGCAUUUCACAGGCAGGAUUAUGACAAGAGGGCUCAUUGAGACACCUCAUGGCGGCCAUGGCACUCAGGCUUCAAAACCGAUGCAGUAACUGCGGUGCGUAUGGAACUUUUGAUUAUUACAUGACAGAGCUUUGUAUGACAGUGUGUGUGAGCUUGCACUCGCACACUCCGGUCCAGCCAAACAUUUUCGGUAUAGGAUUUUGGGACAUACUAGUACGCAUGAGAAAGUUGUGCAAACUCGACUGACAAAUAUGCUUUCACUUAGCUCAAAAGAAGGCAAUGUCUGCGAAGGAGCCUAGCUUAAGAGGUGUGCAGAAAAGAGCUAGUGUACACCUGCAAGUGUACAUGUGGCCUGAAAGAUAAUAUGCACUGGCGAGUACUAUCGUAGCUGGCUCAGUCUGAGACAUGUGCCCAACUCAUGCACACAUCUCUGAACACACACAUGUAUUAAAGUGCAUACAUGUAAUAUGCUGGGUGCCACCUCAUACAAGGAUAGAAAAAAAAAA